rnacentral:rRNA from 1 species
GACAGAGGGUGCAAACGUUGUUCGGAAUUACUGGGCGUAAAGCGCGUGUAGGCGGCUAAGUAAGUCGGGCGUGAAAUCCCACGGCUCAACCGUGGAAGUGCACUCGAAACUGCAUAGCUAGAGUCCUGGAGAGGAAGGUGGAAUGCUUGGUGUAGAGGUGAAAUUCGUAGAUAUCAAGCGGAACACCGGUGGCGAAGGCGGCCUUCUGGACAGUGACUGACGCUGAGACGGACGAAAGCGUGGGGAGCAAACAGG